rnacentral:rRNA from 1 species
ACGAACGCUGGCGGCGUGCCUAAUACAUGCAAGUAGAACGCUGAAGGAGGAGCUUGCUUCUCCGGAUGAGUUGCGAACGGGUGAGUAACGCGUAGGUAACCUGCCUGGUAGCGGGGGAUAACUAUUGGAAACGAUAGCUAAUACCGCAUAAGAGUAGAUGUUGCAUGACAUUUGCUUAAAAGGUGCAAUUGCAUCACUACCAGAUGGACCUGCGUUGUAUUAGCUAGUUGGUGGGGUAACGGCUUACCAAGGCGACGAUACAUAGCCGACCUGAGAGGGUGAUCGGCCACACUGGGACUGAGACACGGCCCAGACUCCUACGGGAGGCAGCAGUAGGGAAUCUUCGGCAAUGGACGGAAGUCUGACCGAGCAACGCCGCGUGAGUGAAGAAGGGUUUCGGAUCGUAAAGCUCUGUUGUAAGAGAAGAACGAGUGUGAGAGUGGAAAGUUCACACUGUGACGGUAUCUUACCAGAAAGGGACGGCUAACUACGUG